AUUGGGUGCCUACCUCUCUAUCCAGCCACACAAACACAACCAACCUUAUCGUCCUCUUUUUUCUGCGUUCUGUGAGUCGAUCUGUGACUUCUGUCUCUCCUCUCCUCUCCUCUCCUCAAUUCUCAUCGACCAAUCGACAAUCCAGCCACUCAGAUUACAGAGGUCUUAUUUGAAGUCUUAUUUGCGAUCAACCUUGUCACAAGAAAGGCUAAAUGGACUUGCUUUGAUUUCGAUUGAGAACGAUUAUCUUGGAAAAAUCAAUUGUGAUAAGCUAAUUGAUCAGUUUGCAGCUUGGAGGGCCGCAUCUUAAACUUUCGCACAGGGCCUCCAAAAAGUUUGAGACGGCUCUGUAUCUAUUCUUCUCACAUCUGGAGGUAUAUAAAGAGAGAUACAAUAAUACAAUUGACUUACGUCUCUGUUCUCCACCACACACAGAACAGGAAUUACUGUCAUCAAAGAGCAAUGAACGGUAGCAAAACUCUACACUGCAAAUUGGGAUCGAUUGUUCACUUGCUGCUCUGCUAUUGAUGAAGAUGAAUAAAGUGCAAAUUACAUGGACAUAUUGGCUCCAUACAUCCAGAGCUACUGGUCGAUAGCUGUCGGCUUUCAAUGAAGGUACAUGACCUCCAGAAUCCAGGAGUCAAGGAAUGGUUGAUUAAUUACAAGCUUAAUAAUGUAAAACACUUUUUUGAGCAGAAGAUGUGAACGACAUAUGUUUGAUGUAGAGCAAGUAUAACCUUUGGAUGUCAUACCAAAUUAGAGUAUGCCACUCAAAAUCAAUUAAGUGAGAAGAAAGAACAUGAAACUUACGCCAAUUUCAAAGUUUUGUUUUUCUAAACACAAGUCGAAGUACAAAACUAGCCGUUAUGAUACUUCCUUAUAAACCAGGAUGUAGUCCCUUCAUUUGUAUACCAAAUUCCUCAAAAUAGUCAUAUUCAUUGCACGAUAAUUACUGCUAUGUGUUGUAAACAUUUAAUCCUAUUUACGACUAACUAUAUCAGUCAAAGAACCAUGACGCCCAUUUUCCUGAAUCCUCCUGGCUCCUCCCUUUAUAAAGAUCAUAAUCUAAGCCAAAACAUACACACACAAAAGCCAAAAGGGCAGAGGAAACAAAAACCUCACAGGUCACAACUCCCCUACUACUUCAAAAUGUCAUCAUCUUCAAGAAUCCUUCUUUGCUUGUUCUUAGUGUUGCUCACUACUAGUCUACAGCACACAGAAGCAACCUUUGAGUCUUCACUGAGUGUUGACGAAGGACCUUGGGGUAAUGUUAGCUGCGUUUGGGGGGGCUUUUUAGCUUCCCCGCUUAUAAGCAACAACACCCAAAGUGUUUGGUAACUUGGCUUCUUGGCAGCUUUUCCCAGAAGCCGCUGCUUUUUUUGUUGAAAAGCAGAAGUCGGUUGAGCCCAGCUUUUAGAAGCCAGUAGCCAUCAACGGUACUGUAGCGGUAAAAAAUGUUCAUUAAUGACUCUUUCGUAAUACCAUCUCCUACCCUCCCUUCAAGGAAGAAACUACACGCAGCCAUGGAAGACUCUUGACACAGAUGACGCUCUUCUCUUCAGAGUUCUGACGCACUCGAAUCUCUCUCUGGCCUCUCUUUCUUCUAUCUUCAUCAAUCAACAACUUGAUUCCGAGUUCGAAAUCGAAGUCUCAAUCAAGGCACGCAGUUGCAAUUUGAUUCAGGGGAAUUGAUGAGCUUGUUGUUCAUAAUCUAGUAGAGAGACAUUUCAUACGGUCACAUGUAUUCUCUUCAAAGCCAGGAGGUUGUGCAGCAUUUCUCUCAAACUACAAUGCAAACUCAGCUGCAACGGUAACUUUCAAUGACCGAAACUAUGAGCUCCUUGCUUGGUCCAUCAGCGUCCUUCCAGACUGUGAAAAUGUUGUAUUCGACACUACCAAAGUGGGAGUUCAGACAUCCCAAAAACAAUUUUUUCCCACUAACUCUGAGUUGUGGUCAUGGGAAACCUUCAGUGAAGACAUUGCUUCAUGGACUGGUGAUACAACUCUCACAGUCAUUGGUUUCUUAGAUCAGUUGAACAUCACUAGAGACUCUAGUGAUUAUCUAUGGUACACCAUCAGGUAAAUGGUCACCUGGGUCUACUUAAAAAACUAUGCCCCUAUGAUGUUCUGCAAGACCAGAGAUUUACUUUUACAGGAGAUGUAAACAUGCAUGCUGGUAUGAAUAAAAUUUCACUUCUAAGUGUAGCUGUUGGAUUACCGGUUAGUUCUUUGAUUUGCAUUUUUCACUAACUUUCAAUAUUUCAUGUACCAAUACAAAGUUCGUGUUGAUAACUUGAUAUUAUACUGCAGGUCCCUAUAAUUGACUUGGUUAAUUUGGUAAAGUUUGUACUCGAGUAAAUUACAUGGCUUAAAAAUAAGUAAUCAAUGUAAUAAAAAAACUUCUUGUGGUGUCUUUAUAUAAAUAACUAAAUCAGGAUCUGGAUAUGGGAUUUGGAAGACUAUAUGAAUAGAUAGGUUCACUUUUGUGAUGUAAAGUAAAGUGGAGGAUACACUAGGGAGCAUGUAGACCAGAUGUGCUUUUGUGAUUUGAAUAAUUAGAAUUUUCGAUAUUCAUACAAAGAUGUGGCUACUUGACUUGGAUUAAAAGUUUUUGAUUUGGUGUUUACAUUAUUAUACCUUCGCAAUGAAUCCCAAACUCCCAAGUAGUCACAUUCUUGGCCAUAUUUCAUGACUUUAGUCCAAUGGUAACUGAACUACUUCCUGUUGAUUUUGUGAUCUUUGAGUCCUGAGCAGAAGGUGCAAAUAAUAGAAGAAGAAUCAGAAAUUCAAGAAUCUCCAAACUGAAGAGAGUGGGUCUUUCUUCGGCCUUGAUGAUGUCAACAUGUAUAAGGUUUAUUCAUCCUUGCAUUCAGUUCUUAUCAUUAAUAGUUGGAGACAGCGUCAGGAAACCCUUGAAGGUGUAAGGGUGGUAUGUUUAGGUGCUGGGUUUGUAAGGAAGAUGCUGUAAGUUUUGACUACAGCAGCCACUGCUGGUGCCCUUCAAGUUUGAAAAUAGCAAUACUCAAAGUUUGAUGAAUGUGGACAUUUGAAUAUGUUAUGAUAUUUUUUGUGGUUACUUGAUGCGAA